rnacentral:rRNA from 1 species
CAGCAGCCACGGUAAUACGAAGGGUGCAAGCGUUAAUCGGAAUUACUGGACGUAAAGCGUGCGUAGGCGGUGAGUUAAGUCUGCUGUGAAAUCCCCGGGCUCAACCUGGGAAUGGCAGUGGAUACUGGCUCGCUAGAGUGUGUCAGAGGAUGGUGGAAUUCCCGGUGUAGCGGUGAAAUGCGUAGAGAUCGGGAGGAACAUCAGUGGCGAAGGCGGCCAUCUGGGACAACACUGACGCUGAGGCACGAAAGCGUGGGGAGCAAACAGGAUUAGAUACCCGCGUAGUCCCUGUCUCUUAUAC